AUAUUUGGACUAAUCCAGGUUCAAGCCUCUGGGCUUUUUGCUGGCGAUGGAAUUGGGGGGUUAGCUGUCCUCACAGCACUAAAUCCCUUUUUAUCUCUUCUUCCCUUUGUUGAGGAUUUGCAGUGCCGUGGUGUCCGAGUGUGGGGCAGGAUCCAGGCGCUGUGGGAUGCCUGAAGUGGAGCCUUAACCCAGCAAAGGACUUGAGUCACAGUCGUGUUCACCUCAGGAGAAGUUUGGUAUUCACGGAGCGGCGUCAGCCCGUACAUAGCCCGGGUGGUGCUGAGUGUUGGGGAGAUCCUGCAGAUCAGUGCUGCCUAAACCACACUGAUAAAGUCUCCAGGCCUCUUCCUUGGGGAGGAAGCUUUUCUCCUGUGUGAUAUGAUGCCCCAGCUGGGGUUUGCACUGAAACCAAAGUGUGGAUCUGGACUCCUUGGAGACUGAAAUGAGGGAAUUUAUCAGCAGAUAGCAGGUGAGUGAGAAUAGGUGUCUUCUGUGAUGUGACUAUGACUGAGAGUUAUUGAUGUGAUGGCUGCUGUCACUUUGGCCAAAUGUCCUGAGCCUGGAGCUUGGGGUGUUCAGGAAGAAUUUCUUCAUGGAAAAGGUUGUUAAGCAUUGGAAGGUGCUGCCCAGGGGAGUGAUGGAGUCCACAUCCCUGGAGGUGUUGAAGGGAAGACUGGACUUGGCACUCAGUGCUCGGGGCUGGGUGACAAGGUGGGGAUUAGUCACAGAUCGGUCUCGGUUGGAAAAGACCUCCCAGACCAUCAAAAUGAUUCUGUGAUUCUGCUUUAUGAAGGAUCCCUGCUUCUUUUUGCUGUGCUUGGGGAUCUCUCUUGUUGCCCUGACAGCUACAG